rnacentral:rRNA from 1 species
GACGAACGCUGGCGGCGUGCUUAACACAUGCAAGUCGAACGGUGAAGCGCCUUCCUUUUUGGUGGGUGUGGAUGGGUGGCGAACGGGUGAGUAACACGUGAGUAACCUGCCCCCUUCUUCUGGAUAACCGCAUGAAAGUGUGGCUAAUACGGGAUAUUCUGGGUCUGUCGCAUGAUGGGUCUGGGAAAGAUAUUGUUUCGGUGGGGGAUGGGCUCGCGGCCUAUCAGCUUGUUGGUGGGGUGAUGGCCUACCAAGGCGGUGACGGGUAGCCGGCCUGAGAGGGUGGACGGUCACACUGGGACUGAGACACGGCCCAGACUCCUACGGGAGGCAGCAGUGGGGAAUAUUGCACAAUGGGCGCAAGCCUGAUGCAGCGACGCCGCGUGAGGGAUGGAGGCCUUCGGGUUGUGAACCUCUUUCGCCAGUGAAGCAGGCCUGCCUCGUUUGUGGGUGGGUUGACGGUAGCUGGAGAAGAAGCGCCGGCUAACUACGUG